CGGUAACGAACCAUUACGUUGUUUGCUAACCGUCAAUAAAUAACAGGAAGAAGAAGAGGAAGAAGCCUCGUCUCGUCUUGUCUGGUUGAUCAACUGCUCGGUGUGGUCUGCUAUUCCGCUUCGACGCAAGAUUAUAUCAUGUCAACCAAGGUUGUUGUCGUCACUGGAAGUAACAAAGGCAUCGGGUUUGCCAUCGUCAGAGGGCUCUGCAAGCAGUUCCAUGGAGACGUUUACCUCACUUCCAGAGACGUCGGUCGAGGUCAGGCUGCCAUGGAGUCUCUGGCCUCUGAGGGACUGAAGCCCUUGUUUCACCAGCUGGACAUCAACGACCUGAACAGCAUCACCACAGCUGCUGCUUUUUUCAAGAAGAAGUAUGGAGGAGUGGACAUCCUCAUCAAUAAUGCUGGGAUAGCAUUCAAAGUGGCUGACACGGCCACUUUUGGAACGCAGGCCGAGGUCACUUUGAAGACAAACUUCUUCGCCACCAGAGACAUGCUGACUCACUUCAUGCCGCUCAUCAAAGCUGGAGGUCGCGUAGUGAAUGUUUCCAGCUUUGUCAGCUCCCGUACGUUGAACCAGUGCAGCCCUGAGCUCCAGCAGCGUUUCCGUAGUGAGGACAUCACAGAGGACGAGCUGGUGGGACUGAUGCAGCGAUUUGUCGAAAAGGCCAAAAGUGGCGAACACAACCAAGACGGCUGGCCUGACACAGCAUAUGGAGUGUCGAAGACUGGACUGACGACGCUGUCUAUGAUUCUGGCUCGUCGUCUGUCUAAGGAGAGACCAAAUGACGGGAUUUUGCUUAAUGCCUGCUGUCCUGGGUGGGUGCGCACAGACAUGGCUGGUCCGAAAGCCCCUAAGACACCAGACGAGGGCGCUGUAACUCCGAUGUACUUGGCUUUGAUUCCAGCCGGAGCCACAGAACCACAUGGGAAGUUCGUCUCUGAGAAGGAAGUUUAUCCGUGGUGAAAAACAUACAGGGAGCUGAUGUUUCAACGUAAACAUUAAUUUCAUUAGUGUAAUUCAUAACGUUGGAUAUUAUGUAUUUUAUCCUUACAGUAAAUGAACAAAUGUUCUCAAGAUGAAUUUCUGAAUAAGGUUUGGUGCUUUAAUGAUCAAACCAAUACUAAAAGAUUCUGUUUGUGCCUGUUACUUUAAAUCCGUUAUUAUCUGAAUGAAUGUUUAAAAUGCUAACCAAGUUUGUUUUUGCCUUCAGUCAUCUAUCUUCCUGUUAUUACAGGGGUAAAUCUUUGGAUUGCCUUACUGUUAUGAGACAUUAACAGAUCCAGUGUGAUGACUGUGAUAGAGGGGUCCAUGCCCCGUGCCUAAACACAAACAGCACCGAAUAUGAAAAGGUAAAAAAAGGCAGCUGGAGAUGUCCAUCGUUCAAAGAGUGAAGUGUGUUUAAUAAUGUUAGAAAGAAAUUGUUAUAAAUUAUGUUGGAAAUAAAACUGUACAUCUGUUUGAUUGCUUUAA